UACAGAGGGUGCAAGCGUUGCUCGGAAUCACUGGGCGUUAAAGGGUGCGUAGGCGGGUCUUUAAGUCAGGGGUGAAAUCUGGAGCUCAACUCCAGAACUGGCCUUUGAUACUGAGGAUCUUGAGUUCGGGAGAGGUGAGUGGAACUGCGAGUGUAGAGGUGAAAUUCGUAGAUAUUCGCAAGAACACCAGUGGCGAAGGCGGCUCACUGGCCCGAUACUGACGCUGAGGCACGAAAGCGUGGGGAGCAAACAGGG
rnacentral:rRNA from 1 species